UACAGAGGUCUCAAGCGUUGUUCGGAUUCAUUGGGCGUAAAGGGUGCGUAGGUGGCGAGGUUAGUCAGGUGUGAAAUCUCGGGGCUCAACCCCGAAACUGCACUUGAUACUGCCUUGCUCGAGUACUGGAGAGGAGAUUGGAAUUUACGGUGUAGCAGUGAAAUGCGUAGAUAUCGUAAGGAACACCAGUGGCGAAGGCGGCAUCCUGGCCAUGUACUGACGCUCAGGGGCGAAAGCGUGGGGAGCAAACCGG
rnacentral:rRNA from 1 species